rnacentral:tRNA from 1 species
GGGGCUAUAGCUCAGCUGGGAGAGCGCUUGACUGGCAGUCAAGAGGUCGACGGUUCGAUCCCGUCUAGCUCCACCA